rnacentral:rRNA from 1 species
GUCCACGCCCUAAACGAUGUUUACUUGCUGUUCCGACGCGAGUUGGAGUGGCGAAGCGAAAGCGAUAAGUAAACCACCUGGGGAGUACGCCGGCAACGGUGAAACUCAAAGGAAUUGACGGGGUCCGCACAAGCGGUGGAGCAUGUGGUUUAAUUCGAUGAUACGCGAGGAACCUUACCUGGACUAGAAUGUGAGAGGGAAUGAUCUGAAAGGUGAUUGCCCGCAAGGGCUUCUUACAAGGUGCUGCAUGGCUGUCGU